UACGGGGGGGGCAAGCGUUGUUCGGAAUUACUGGGCGUAAAGGGCUCGUAGGCGGCCAACUAAGUCAGACGUGAAAUCCCUCAGCUUAACUGGGGAACUGCGUCUGAGACUGAUUGGCUCGAGGACAGGAGAGGAACGCGGAAUUCCAGGUGUAGCGGUGAAAUGCGUAGAUAUCUGGAGGAACACCGGUGGCGAAGGCGGCGUUCUGGACUGUCUCUGACACUGAUUAACGAAAGCCAGGGGAGCAAACGGG
rnacentral:rRNA from 1 species